UAAUAGUUUGAUCCUUGCUACUAGAUUGGCUUUAAUAAAACAUAAUACAUGCUAUUUUCUGAGAACCCGUGCAACCCCCCGCAUCUUAAAGUUUAUUCUUGUAAUGGAUAAGUUUCACUACUCACCAAUUUUCACGCCUGCAGUAAAGCAUCUUGUUACAAAUUAAACUAAUGUAACAGGUAUUAUUAAUUAGUGCUGACUAAAUUCGUGCCAGCCGUCGCGGUUAUACGAUAAGCACAAGUCAAUUAUACACCGGUAAAGUACUGAUAAAAAUUCUAUGUUAUAAUGGUAUAAUAUAUUCAACAUAAUUAACUUCAUAUAUAUCAUUCCUCAAAACGAAAGAUUAGACAAAAACAAGGAUUAGAUACCCUUCUAUUCUAUUCCGUAAAAUCUUCUCCGGACACUACAGACACACGUUUAAAAUCCAAAGGAAUUGGCGGCAUUUUAUGCUAUUAGGGGAAUCUGUCAAUUAACUCGUCAACCCACGUUAAACCUUUCUUGUUUUAGAUUUAUCAGCUUGUAUACUGCCGUCGUAAGCUAACAUUAUAUAAGAUUGUCAGCUCCGUAAAUUAACUUUAUUACGUCAGGUCAAUGUGCAGCCUAUAAACAAGCUUAGAUGGAUUACAUUAAAUAUAAAACAGGUUAACAACCCGAAACUAAUGUUAUAAUAUGGACUUAAUAGUAAAUAGUUAAUAUUAUGAACUAUUGAAUUAGCAAUCUAAAAUUGUGCACAAAUCGCCCGUCACUCCCACCGAAAGGAGGGAUAAGUCGUAACAUAGUAGGUGUAACUGAAGUUGUACCUU
rnacentral:ncRNA from 1 species